rnacentral:rRNA from 1 species
CCUACGGGGGGCAGCAGUGAGGAAUAUUGGUCAAUGGCCGGAACGCUGAACCAGCCAAGCCGCGUGAAGGACGAAGGUGCCAAGCAUUGUAAACUUCUUUUGUCAAGGGACAAAAUCAGGCUCGAGAGCCUGACCGAGGGUCCUUGAAGAAAAAGCAUCGGCUAACCCCGUGCCAGCGGCCGCGGUAAUACGGAGGAUGCGAGCGUUAUCCGGUUUUAUUGGGGUAAAAGGGUGGGUAGGCGGGCUGUUAAGUGAGAGGUAAAAGCCCGGGGCUAAACCCCGGCGAGCCGUUGAAACUGGCUGGCUAGAGAUGUCGAGAGGUAUGCGGAAUGCGCAGUGUAGCGGUGAAAUGCUUAGAUAUUGCGCAGAACUCCGAUGGCGAAGGCAGCAUACCGGCGGCGAUCUGACGCUGAGGCACGAAAGCGUGGGGAUCGAACAGGAUUAGAUACCCUGGUAGUC